AAGCGGUCAGUUGAGUUGGGGAGGAAGAGAGCAGCCAGAUUGAGGGAAGACAGUGGGGGGAAAAAGGGCGGGAAGAAGGCUUCCAACCUCUAGACAGCAUGCCUCGCUAGUCUUACCAAUUUUCCCGCCCUCACACCCUCGGGGAAGACUCGGGUUUUCAAACCCUUUCCCGCCCUCCCCCCUUCUCGUUCUUCCCCAGUAAACUCCCCCCUUUUUUUAAGUCCCUCCCUCUCAGCCCCUGCCAGAUUGGAAGGGCGACCCCUUGGCGGAAGGAUUAGGCUUGUGGUGAGGUCUGGGAGGGCGUUCGCGUGUAGGGCUCCGUGGGAGUAAGCCCGGGCGUCUUAACCGUCGUUCUUCCGAAGGAGCCAACCCGGGACAUAGCCGAAUGCCCCUGGCGGAGCAGGUCUUCAGGCCAUGGGCCUGGGCGAUCGAUGCCCUGUGGCCUUUUUGGUGGAAGGAAAGAGCAGAGCAGAGCACAGGCUGCCGUUGCAGGAGAAUGUUGCCUCAAUAGAUUGAAUUUGAUCAAGGCAUCCUUUCCUUCUGCCUUUCUAACUCAGAUACCAGAAGAGCAGACCAACAGCUUUGAAAAUAUCACAUCCACUUUCACCUCGGCAGAUAAUGGGUGGAAUGAAGUGUGGAAGACUAUCUCCUGGCCUCCACUGACUUGGCAGGAUAGGGAAUGUGGUCCAUUGAGGAGGUUUGUCAGUUGAAAAAGUAGCCUCUUUAUUGUUUUUGCCUCAUAUCCUUUUACACCUGGAGGCAAAGGACCUUAUAUCUGGAUGGAUUGAGGUUUUGAAGACUCACAUUGCCUACUGGCCUCUACUGCCUGGGCAAGCAGGGAAAUUUGACCCACUGAGGAAUUUUUAUCAGUUGAAAAAGUAGCCUCUUUAUUGUGUUUGCCUCUUCUAUCCCUUUACAUCCAGAGGCAGAAAACCUUAUAUCUGGAUGGAAUGAAGUUUUGAGGACUUACACUGCCUGUUGGCCUCCACUGCUUUGGCAGGCAAGAGAGUCUGGCCCACUGAAGAGUUUUUAUCAGUUGAAAAGUUAGCCUCUUUAUUGUUUUAGCCUCCUACAUCCCCUUUCAUCUAGAAACAGAGUACCCUUCAAAAUGGGUAGAAGGACAUGUUGAAGACACUCACUGUCUAUUGGCCUCUUACUGCCUUGGCAUCUGACCCACUGAAGAAUUUUAUCAGUUGAAAAAUUAGCCUCUUUAUUAUUAUAGCCUGUUUAGCUGACAACAUGAUGAGUGACUGAAUGAAGAAAUGGAUGAGGAAAAAAAAUUGACAGGGCAACUCAUCAUUAUCCUUGCCUGUUUCUUCAAGGAGAACCAUAAUCUUGACAUUGCUUUUGAAAUCACUAGUUAUUCUUGGGGAAUGAUGGAGCAAUAGGACUUGAUGUUCUGGAUAGCAGACUGAGACCCUUAAGGCCAGGUGCCUGCAUAGGCCCAGGAUGGAGAACCCACGGCUUUGGCUGAAUGCUUCCUACAGAGAAUGAGUAGGGUUGGUCUAACUGCCAGGGGAUCCUCAUCCUGGGGGAAAUCAAACUUUGAUGAUGGACAAAUUAUACAAACCUGUGAAUCUACCUCAUUUGACUGACAGAAGGAAGUUCUCCAAAUUACCCUCUUGGAGAGUGAUACCACUUGAGAUUUUCAAAACUGACUUAGAAAAACUAAUAGAGCAUUUGGGUAGCAGCUCUGAAAAUCUUCACCCUAACCUCAUUCAUCAGGGUUGUGUAUAUUGGCCUGUGAGGACCACCAGUAAAUAAAAAUACCAAUUUGGAGUAGGACUGCACCACAAAUUAAAUGUGCAUACCUAUGGAAGCCUGCUAGAGAAGCUCAGGCUAUGUUGUACAAUACAACUAGAGAACAAAAGAUUCAGGCUGCCUACCUGGCCAUUUAACACUAUCUGGAGUACCUCAUUCUGGCCAAAUUUUUCCCAGGUGGCACAGUGGGAUAUCCAAAGGCUACUAGACAAUAUGAGCAUAGCUGGGGUGGGGGUGGGGGUCGCCCAUUCGUGGUCUGUCUUAUCUGAUAAGCCUGACUAGCUUCCUAUGUAUAUGUUCUGUCAUGAGCCUGUGCAUGUACAGAUCUUUAUAAAAUUUAUUAGAUAUUUUGUAGUUUCCAUACACCAUUGUGUCUUUUCUAUAUAGCUCAUCAAAUUGUAUAAUUUAAUAAUUCCUAUUUGUGACCACCUGGCUGUCUGAAGCAAGGAGGGCAAGAAGCUUACCCGCUCCUACUAGUCUAGGGAUUGAUAUGUCGACCAGACACAGGCCUAACAUGGAGUUGUGAAGUCGAAAAGAGGAUCUACAGCUGAAGAUUGAGGGCUCCUUGGAAAUUGAUCAUUCAUUAAUGCAGAAAGUAAUUGGACUGCCUGAGACUGCCAGUAAGACUAUGAAGAUCUGGAAUCAAUGUGUAUACUUGAGAAAGACAGCUUGAACAUUGAAUUGGAAGCCCACUUCAUCAACUGCUUGGGGCUGGAAAUGCAUCACAUCCUUCAGAGAGACAAACUUGCCUAUGAACUUCUCAUUUGAAGAAGCUAGCAACAUGCUGCUCUGAAUCUAUGCAUCUAAGCUAUUGUCUUUAUACUACCAGUGGGAUGGAUGACCACCACUGUCUGCUUGUGACUCAUUGCUGCUUGCUGUUGGCUGUUUAAGCUGCAGCCCAAGUUGGGCACAGUGGAGGACGAAUUGGGACAGAUCUUGCAUAACUGCAGUGACCAUGGAGCGACGUGGAGCCAGCAGGAUGGGACACAGGCUGUUGCUGUUUUGAGAGAGACUUUCGGCUAGAAUUGGACUGGAAUGGUAGUAACUCCUAUGAACCUCAGCUCCUGGUGAGAUCGGGCUAACAGGACCGAUCCCAAACCCUAGUGUUUUUCUCCUGUUUUCUCUGGUUGUUCACAGAGCUGAUUUCAGCAAGUUCCAAAGACAAUUCUUUCCCUUAUUCUUUUCCGCAUCUAUAAGCUGGGAGGAGGUUUGGGGGGAGACAAAUCAAAGGAUGCAGUUUCUUUACAACUUUGCUGUAUGACAGCUCCUUUACUGUGUUUUAAUAAACCAUGUGGUUGCUGAAAAGCAAGUUGUCUGAGUGUUAUGAAUUAGGCUGAUAGCAGAUUUCCCAUAUAUGGGGCCAAGGUGGAACCACUAAGAGCCAAGGGAAGAUUUCUGUAACUUCCAUUUUUCAGUGCAAUAUUUACUUUCUUCUCCCCUAGAUUGUAAUUUGGAAUUGGCUAUUGAGGGCAGCUAAAGCUGUCCAGCUACUCCCAUAGUGGGGAGGGAAGAGAGUGUAGAAGGGGGUCUGAGAGGUGUAGAAGGGCAUCUCAGAGGUGUAGGUGAGCAGUGUUUGGUGAGCUUUGGGACCAUUGAGAUCAUCUGGAAAGCCUGCCACGUGCGUGUUGCAUGUGCCUUGAUGAAAACAUUUGGCUGGUGACUUGAGCAUGAGACCUAGUUAAAAGAGGGUCUGUUAUACUCCCUUCCUGGUUAAUUAAUUGAUAGUCUGCUUUUCUAUAGGUUGAAGAAGGCAAGUAUAUACCAACUAAGCGUGAGCUGCUAUUGAUAUUGAGGGAUGUAGGACAUAACAUCAGCUAUACAUUUUAUCUGUACCACUGUCAUAUAUAUUUUGUUUUGAUGGUUUCUUUUGAUUGUUUCAGUUUUUCUGUAUAUUUAUAUUCUAUGUAGUAAUAAAUAUUCAGUGUUGUUUUAGGAAAUUUUAUAAAACUGUGCUGUUAGUGGUUGGGAAAGGACUUUAAUCGUAUUGGUAAGAUCCAGCAUGUUACUGUGAGGGUGGCAUCUUCCCUGAGGAUCGAAGUACCAUGAGUGCUUUAUUAAUUAGAAAAAUAAAAUUUUUU